rnacentral:misc_RNA from 1 species
GUGAAUCAUCGAAUUUUUGAACGCAAAUUGCGCUUCCUGGCAUCCCGGGAAGUAUGCCUGUUUGAGGGUCAGUAUUAACAAAAAAAUCGGUUUGGUUGCAAAUUGUGACGUUUCCGGAGUUUGGGCUAUCUUAACUUUUUUGGUUAAGGGGCUAAAAUUUGACCUUUUUUGGGCAUUUUUGAACGUCAUUAAUUUUUUUUUUAUUGGUUUAUUCUUAUUGCCAAAAUUUAUUUGGUUGGGUCUACA